CUCCUAGUCAACAGCCGAACAGCAAUGCAGUGGCAUAUUUCUGCGGCAGAUAACGCCACACGUUCACUUUACCUUCCUAAUCAGGCUUGAAACGCAUCGAAACCCACAAUGACAGGCAGCCGAAUUCAACGGAAUAUGUCGGGUGUUUUUUGGCCUGGAGACGACGGCGCUGCGCAGGGAUGGGAGACGGGGGAAAGCACGAAUCCCGAGGAGGACUGCCGAAAGCUCGGGCUCGUCCAUGACCAUGUCGUUGAGUGUCUUUUCCAAACGUCUCCUUUCCUGUCACAAUAAACCAGAGGAUCCUACAAUUUCUCAUGACAAGGAUCCACUAAAGAAAAACCCCAUCACACCAUUUCACAAUCAAUUUCAUGAGAUUUUUGUCAAAAGAUUUUUUUUGUUAGGUACCACUGAGAAUUACUAGAGAAUUACAAAGGUGGGCACACUGUAGAUGAGAGGGUAAGCGUGUGAAAGAAUAGAAUAAAAAUCUACUUGAACCUUU